ACACAAAAAUGCACAUAUUGUGAGCUUGAUGAGUAGGGCGGGACACGUGGUAUCCUGUCUGAAUAUGGGGGGACCAUCCUCCAAGGCUAAAUACUCCUGACUGACCGAUAGUGAACCAGUACCGUGAGGGAAAGGCGAAAAGAACCCCGGCGAGGGGAGUGAAAAAGAACCUGAAACCGUGUACGUACAAGCAGUGGGAGCACGCUUAGGCGUGUGACUGCGUACCUUUUGUAUAAUGGGUCAGCGACUUAUAUUCUGUAGCAAGGUUAACCGAAUAGGGGAGCCGAAGGGAAACCGAGUCUUAACUGGGCGUUAAGUUGCAGGGUAUAGACCCGAAACCCGGUGAUCUAGCCAUGGGCAGGUUGAAGGUUGGGUAACACUAACUGGAGGACCGAACCGACUAAUGUUGAAAAAUUAGCGGAUGACUUGUGGCUGGGGGUGAAAGGCCAAUCAAACCGGGAGAUAGCUGGUUCUCCCCGAAAGCUAUUUAGGUAGCGCCUCGUGAAUUCAUCUCCGGGGGUAGAGCACUGUUUCGGCAAGGGGGUCAUC
rnacentral:rRNA from 1 species